AAGAGGAAGAGAACGAUAAAGGGGAAAAAAGAGAGAGAGACAGGUAUUGAGCGAUCUCUCUUAUCAUAUGUGAGGAAAAUGAGAGAGAGAGAGAGAGAGAGAGAGAGAGAGAGAGAGAGAGAGAGAGAGAGAGAGAGAGAGAGAGAGAGAGAGAGAGAGAGA